UACGUAGGGACCAAGCGUUGUUCGGAUUUACUGGGCGUAAAGGGCGCGUAGGCGGCAAUUCAAGUCAUCUGUGAAAUCUCCGGGCUUAACUCGGAACGGUCAGAUGAUACUGCUUUGCUCGAGUGCGGAAGGGGCAAUCGGAAUUCUUGGUGUAGCGGUGAAAUGCGCAGAUAUCAGGAGGAACACCGGUGGCGAAGGCGGAUCUCUGGGCCUUGCCUGACGCUGAGGCGCGAAAGCUAGGGGAGCGAACAGG
rnacentral:rRNA from 1 species